AGUAAAAGUCGUAACAAGGUUUCCGUAGGUGAACCUGCGGAAGGAUCAUUAAAAAUUGGACUCCAUUGGUGAGUUCAUUAAUAAUCCCUACCCUUUGUGAAUUUGUUUGUUUGAAUAAUUUUUUUUCCAAAAAAAAUUAUUGAAUGUCUUUCCUUGUUUUGGUGGAGCUUGUAAAGUGAAACCAGGCAGGGGAAUGGCAAACAAUAAUUAUUUUUGAAAAAGACCUUUUUUUAAAAUUAAACUUUUUGUAUUCAUUUGUCUAAAAUUAAUUUUUAUAAUAUAAAAACAACUUUUGACAAUGGAUCUCUUGGUUCUCGCAACGAUGAAGAACGCAGCAAAAUGCGAUAAGUAGUGUGAAUUGCAGAAUACGUGAAUCAUCGAAUCUUCGAACGCAUAUUGCACUUUUUUAGUUUACUAAAAAAGUAUGUCUGUUUGAGUAUCAGUAAAAUAUUCUCAUAAAAAACAUUGUUUUUUUUAUGGUUAUGAGUGUUUUACAACGAUAACAAGUUGUUUCACUUUAAAUUCUUUGUUAUCAAAAAAAUCAUUAAAAGCUAAUUUUAAAGAUUUUUUAAAAUUGGAUAAAAUUUUCCCGUAAAAGGAAUAACCUAAACAAUUUUAAAAAAUUAAAAUUGGUUUGAUUUUUUUUGAAACCCAAAGGAAAAAAAACGAAAUUAACUUGAUCUCAAAUCAGAUAAGAGUACCCGCUGAACUUAAGCAUAUCAAUAAGCGGAGGAAAAGAAACUAACUAGGAUUCCCUCAGUAACGGCGAGUGAAGCGGGAAGAGCUCAAAUUUGAAAUCUUCAAGGUUUUACCUUGACGAAUUGUAGUUUAAAGAAGUGUUUUCUGUUGGAGUUUUGGUAAAAGUUCUUUGGAAAAGGACAUCAUAGAGGGUGAGAAUCCCGUAUUUGACCAUUAUCUCCAGCUUUGUGAUACACUUUCAAAGAGUCGGAUUGUUUGGGAAUGCAGUCCAAAAUGGGUGGUAAAUUUCAUCUAAAGCUAAAUACUGGCGAGAGACCGAUAGCGAACAAGUACCGUGAGGGAAAGAUGAAAAGAACUUUGAAAAGAGAGUUAAACAGUACGUGAAAUUGUCAAAAGGGAAGCGUUUGACACCAGUGUUGUUUUCUCGAAAAUCAAUUAAAAAAGGCCGGAUUUUGUGUUGUAUUGACUUUAUCAGCUUUCUGCACUCUUUUCUUGUCUUUUUUAAUGCACUUUUCGUUUAACAAGUCAACAUCAAUUUCUUUUGUUGUAAAAGGGUCAUUGGAAGGUGGCUUUCUUUUCGGAGAAAGUGUUUAUAGCCUUUGGCCUCUGCAAUCGGAGAGAUUGAGGUCUGCAGCGUAGAUCCUUCGGGUUAGAUACAUUUGUGCUAAGUUAUAGCCUUUCAUAGACAACUUGUUGACUAUGAUCAGUCAUGUAGCUUACUCGCUUAUGCUAUUUUACCUACGCUUAGGAUGUUGAG
rnacentral:misc_RNA from 1 species